CAUGCCCGAACGCACACUUUCUUUGUGAAAUCCAACCCGUUGACCCCGCACCGGUUCUCGCCCCCUUCUCGCAUUUCGCCAGAAUUUUUGACAUUACGUAAGCCACGACACCACGUUGGCUUUCGCGCAACCACCCGCUGUCCCACAUAACCCUACAGCGACCCCAACAAUAUUCUCGGCUCCACGAACGACGUAGUCUAACCUCCGUUCACAGCGUGAAUUAGCAGCAAGUGCCUUAAAUUGAUUUGCCAUCACUAGUGUAACAAAUUCGCACUGAACAUAUUCAUAUGGCAAGAGACAUAUUACAUACAUAAAAGAGCUAAUAAAGCUAAACAACAGAAAAAGUAUCUAUUAGAAAAACAAGCAACAAAGUGGACAAUUAAUUCAAUAUGGAACAACCAUUUAGACCUACGCAUCAAGUAUUCAAUGAAAUGAUCAAACAGGAAAAUAUUGAUGAUGAAUCAUUUAAUAAUCAAAUUGUCAAAGAGGAAAUAAUUUAUGAAACAAGCCAUCGCGAUGACUAUCAAUUAUUACA